rnacentral:rRNA from 1 species
ACUAAUGCACCGGAUCCCAUCAGAACUCCGCAGUUAAGCGUGCUUGGGCUAGAGUAGUACUAGGAUGGGUGACCUCCCGGGAAGUCCUCGUGUUGCACCCC